rnacentral:rRNA from 1 species
CAGCCGCCACGGGAAAACCAGCAGCCCAAGUGGUGGUCGCGUUUAUUGGGCCUAAAGCGCUCGUAGCCUGGCCGGUAAGUUCCCCGUGAAAUCGGGUCGCCCAACGAUUCGGCUUGCGAGGAAUACUGUCGGUCUUGGGGCCGGGAGACGCCGAGGGUACUCCGGGGGUAGCGGUGAAAUGCUGUAAUCCUCGGGGGACUACCAGUGGCGAAGGCGCUCGGCGAUAACGGGCCUGACGGUGAGGGGCGAAAGCUGGGGGCGCGAACGGGAUUAGAUACCCCUGUAGUCCCUGUCUCUUAUA